UAUACUUCUUGACAUUGUAUAUGAUCUUUUAUCACCCACCCCAACAGUUUCUGCUGGCUUGUGCCCCACGAAGAUCUGGGUUACAAUGGGUCUUCACAUAUCCUUGCUUGUAACCACUAACGAAAUUGUGUGGUCAGACGCAGUCACUUACUGUAGUUUAUACAUGUCAUCAUAUCACAGUUGUGUGGAUUGAUGCUCAUGAUGUCAAUCACUGGAUUGUCUGGUUCAGACUGAUUGCAACAUGAAGCAACAUGAUGGCAACAGAGCAGCACCUGACUACAGCAUCAGAAACACAGGAACAGCUAAAGUAGCCAGGGUAGUCAAUGCACAGGGCUUUGAUAUUCAACCAACUCUUUCAAAUGGUCAGAUUUCAAGACGUUAAAAAACCUUUCCAGAAAUUGCGUGAAUGUUUUGAUGUUAUGUUUACAAAACAAGUUGUUGGUUAUAUGUUUCCUCAAACAUCAGUGAAACAAAAAUUACACGGGAAUGUUUUGGCGUCAUGUCAGAUGACUGAGAUGAUUGGAUAAACAGACAAAAUGCAGUUAUAAAUCAACUGCCAGUAUGGAGAUUAUGUACUAGUUGGUUUGAGAUUUAUCAGUAUCAGAUGAUAUAUUAUUUCAACUUAUGUGAUAAACUAUUGUGUAAUUAGUAAUUGAAAACUAAUGUAAACUUAACUGAUUCAGCAAUAAUGUAUGUAAGGCAUGAAUGUUUUGUAUUCUUGGGUAGAGUUAUUGAAAACUAAUGUACAUGUAUUUGUGGUUUGUUUGCGCAUGAUUUGUGACGUUAAUGACGUGAUGUGUUGUCCCCUGCCGUCAUAUUGUCUGGGAAUUUCUAAACAAGACAUACAAACUCCCACCUGCUGAAGUACUGCUUUGAUUCAAUAUCAACCUCUUGAAUCAAGAAGCUCCUGUUGUCUGUUUUGUCAAUUCUGUGACAUAAGCUGCUGUCAAGGGUUCACUGUUGCACAGGCAUUGGCCAGAAAACGCUCUUGCACAGGCUCUUAAAUGUUCACUGUCUCAGACUUGUCAAAGGUUUGCUGUGGGACAGGAUUGUCUUAUCCGGUCGCUGUGGUACAGAACCAUGCCAAGGCUUUGCCAUGGCGCUGACUGUUGUCAAGGUCGUUCUCUAACACAGUCUGUUGUCAAGGUCCUUUUGUAACACAGUCUGUUGUCAAGGUCGCUCUGUACACAAUCUGUUGUCAAUCUUUUAUUGUGGCACAGACUGUUGUCAAGGGAAUCCUGUAACAGAAGCUGUUGUCAAGGUUGCUCUGUACACGAUCUGUUGUCAAUCU